AUUGAACGCUGGCGGCCGGCCUACCACAUGCAAGUCGAACGAGUGGCGGACGGGUGAGUAAUGUCUGGGGAACUGCCCGCUGGAGGGGGAUAACUACUGGAAACGGUAGCUAAUACCGCAUACCAUCGGAUUUGCCCAGAUGGGAUUAGCUAGUAGGUGGGGUAACGGCUCACAUAGGCGACGAUCCAUAGCUGGUCUGAGAGGAUGCCCAGUCACACUGGAACUGAGACACGGCCCAGACUCCUACGGGAGGCAGCAGUGGUGAAUAUUGCACAAUGGGCGCAAGCCUGAUGCAGCCAUGCCGCGUGUAUGAAGAAGGCCUGCGGGUUGUAAAGUACUUUCAGCGAGGAGGCGUUACGCGCAGAAGAAGCACCGGCUAACUCCGUGCCAGCAGCCGCGGUAAUUC
rnacentral:rRNA from 1 species